rnacentral:lncRNA from 1 species
GACCAUUGAUGAAGGACGCCUGAAAAUGAGAGCUCAUUGUCCCAUGGUAACUGAUGUUGGAAUAAAGGAGAAAGCCUUGAGAACUCUUAUGAGUUAUAACCCCGUUUGGCUUCGGAUUGGAUUGUACAUACUCUUGGGGGGUGACACCUUGUUACCAAAUGGAGAUGUCAAUUCCGAACAAGGAAGGAGAAAGCCUUGAGAACUCUUAUGUGUUAUAACCCUGUUUGGCUUCGGAUUGGAUUGUACAUACUCUUGGGGGGUGACACCUUGUUACCAAAUGGAGAUGUCAAUUCCGAACAAGAAAUUCCCUUCUUGAAGAUGGUGCUUGAUAAGCAGUUUUUCUCACAUGUUGGUCUAGCAAAGACCUAUGCUUAUAACAAGUUAGUGGAGAGUUUAUAUGGACCUGGUUACUAUGAAAAGUUAGGCAAUAUUGUCUUGAAGAGAUUUUUGUUGCUUGUUCUCAUACUAGAAAUAGUCAAAACUCAGAGUAGUCUGCCACUUAAAUAUGGUAUUGACGCACAAGAUGGAGGAUCUCCUCUAUUGUUCUCCUUGCAAUCAGAUGCUAAAUCUAGCCGUCAACUGAUCAACAGUAAUUGCUUGUUUACAAGACCUUUCUACUAUAACUCGUGUAUUAACAUUUCCCUAUAUUAAAAACAUGUUGGAGUUCUUAUCAUCCGAUGUGAUGCAUGGUGAAGGCAAUCUACUUGCGCAUCUUGUCAUCGUAGGCUAUAAAGUGACAUAUCAACAGCUAAGCAUGUCUAUUAAUGAUCUUAGUUUGCAAGUGUAAAUGCUUUUACUACAUGGUUGGUUUUUUCUGGUUACCGGGUUGUAUCAUGUUUAAGUUGGACCGAAUAGAGCCCUCGCUUAACCAUGGGUUUGUCUCUUGUUUAGCGAGGGCUCUUGUCGUCUGUUUACUUUUACGGCACGGUUGACGUCAUUCAUAUGUGUUGCAGUAUUGGUUUCUGAUUAUUGUGGCCAACUGUUAUUGUCUGGUGCAGAAU